rnacentral:tRNA from 2 species
GCCUCUAUAGCUCAGUGGUAGAGCGACUGCCUUGUAAGCAGUAGGUCGGGGGUUCGAAUCCCUCUGGAGGCU